GGAGGAGCGACGUGGAGCAGCCCUCAGGGUCCUUCCCCUCCUCUCCCCGCCCGUUCUCCCUCAGCGGAGAGACGUGAAGCGGCGACCGGAGCUGCAGGUGCCCUUCAGGAACCGUAACUUCCCGGAGAAGACAGGGAGGAGAGCCGGGGACGAAAGCGGCCUAGCGCCAGGAUAACCCGGCCUGCGAGUGACAGAGGAACAGGAAGCCUUCCAGAAGUCUGCUGGAGUAAUUGAUAACCAUGGUGUUAACAGGAGUACUCAAAGAAAACAAAGCCGUUGCAGAGAAGUUCAUAGACUAUUUGAGUCGGUGUUCAGCAGUGAAUAUCCUGGAAGUGGGAGGAAUUUUGAAGAGAGAAUGGAUGAAACUGAUAAAAUGAACAGUAAGAAACCACCGGGACCAGAUGGAAAUUGCUAACAGGUCACCCUGAAGAGGGGUUACUGCAUGAAUGUGCAUGAAUGAACCUAGUGUCAAAGCUUGAAAACACCCUGCUUGCUAACGGACUCCUUAGCAGGUAAAGCAGAAUGGCUGCGUGCAGAUAUCCCCUACCAGACUUCCUGUGACAGGAACGUUUCAGAAGGAAAAUUAAAUGCCUCCCUCCAAAGGCUUACGGGAAUUCUGCACUGCCACGGCCUUUUCUCAUGGAGAAAGAACUGUUAAUAACGUACUGUUAUCCCUCUUGUACUGCUGUAGUUCUACUGUUCAGCUGAUGCAAUGUCAUUUUUGCUUAUGAACAGCAGUCUAAAAUAUCACCUCUGCUAUACUGCUUAAAGAUCUUAUUUCUUAAAAUAGGUCCAUUUCAUUUUUAGACACUUUUUGUAAAUCAGGAGUGCUGUGACAAUUCAGAUAUCCUUUAGAGCCUUAUGAUUUCCUGUGGAAACAUCAAAAAUUUCAGCUGUAGUAGGUUUCGUUUUGUGCUUGAUUUCUUCAGGGCUGCACCCUGCUAUUUGCACAGAACAAAGCAAUAGUUUUCUUCCAUAGUGGCUGCAAUGAAUUUCUCAGAACUUUUAAUUCAUUUAAUCAAGAGCCAAGGGCUGGGGGAAAUGUAACUGCUGCAACCCCUGUAGUUAUUAUGGUCGGAAAUAUAAUUCUAACUGGUCGCAGAAAGAGACUCAGUUGAAACAGUGGAUCAAAACAUCGUGUCAAGUGUUAAGGCCUCUUGGUUUUAAAAUGACAGCCCUUCUGUCUUUGUCUUUUCUUCUUUUUGAAAGGGCUCCACCUCUCAGGAUUCUGUAUUUUGAGAUAUUAACAUCUGAGCAAAUAGGAACAGAUAUGAUUGCUCUCCCGGAAAUGUAGCUUUUUAAGUAAACAAACUUUGGAGUUGUUACUGACACACAAAUACUGAACGUAAGCCUGCCUCUCUACUUUCAGACACAUGCCGACCAAGGGAAGAAGACACAUCUGCGUGGCAGUUCACGUGCAGGCAUGGCAGCAGAUAAACCCCCAAAUGUUCCAUGGCCCACCAAGCGGUAGACAUUUGGCUAGAGGACAGUGUGCCCACAUGAGCCUCGCAGUGCCCUAAACUGCCAGGUGGGCUUAGGAAUACAGCGUCCCAUGCGCUCAGAAGCGUGGGAGCUGUCCUUAAGAGAUGCAGUGCCUGCACAGCCCUUAUACAUACACAUCCUUAGAGCUAAGUACAAUUCUCGACACUCUGAAUUAUUGGGGAGAGUCUGUUUUGUGCCAGACGAGAGACGUACGUAACAGUUGUGAAUUUCUGUGCCUCGUUUUCCAACGAGCGAAGCACUCGGUAGAGUUGUGUGCCUGUGCCUGCCCAGCCUGUGCAGCCUGGCUGCAUCGUGUUUCCGUGCUGGGAAGAGGUCUGCCCGAGUAUUACCACCUUCUGUUUCCCGUGGUACAAGAAGGAAAUUGGGGUCCAUGAGCCAAGAGGGAUCAGCAGCACACUUUGACUGAGGCCCUGCUGUAGAUGAUGGGACCAGGUGUCCAGAACUUGGCAAUUUGCUCAUAAUGUUCAAAGCUUCAGCACCCUUCAUCGUCAAACCUGUCUAAUCCUUCCUUGGCUUGAGAGGAUCUCCUCUCCCUUCCCUUCUCCCGUGCACCUCCAACGAGCUCUACUGACAGGCCUGGGAAGUCGGACGUGGUGGCUGAGGGUAGAGUGGGUUUCCAUAUUUGCAUGCUUGCACAAGAAAAAGAAGGUCUUAGAUGGGCUGGGUCUACCUCUGCUGGCACGUGCUUUCCCGCAGAGUUGGGAAAGCGAGGGGAAGGGAUGGGAAGCGCCCCUCGCUUUUCUCUGAAACUCCUGUUUCCGGGUGCAGGGAAGGCAUCCCCCCUUCUGGCUUCGCUCAGCGCUGUCCCGUUCCGUCCCUCCCUGCGAGGAGUCUGACUGUACCCGGGCACCAGCGUUGGACAUGCUGGUGUUCCGCACGCCCAACUGCAGCUGCCUCCCGGCCAUCAGGCAGGGGAAGAAGCAGGUUUAUGGGUUUGCUACCUUUUUUUUGCCUGGCGAGCUUACAUCACCGGCCACGUCUCAGCCCCGUCCGAGUGCCGGGACAGUUAAACGUGCAAUCGGCAAAAGAUGAAGUUAAACGAAACAAAUAAAGCGCAUCAUCUGAAACGCUGCCUGCGGUGCACGAUGCA